rnacentral:tRNA from 1 species
CAAGGAGUAGUUUAUAUAGAAUAUUAGCUUUGGGGGUUAAUGGUGAAAGAAAGUUUUUUCCUCCUUGA